rnacentral:lncRNA from 1 species
AUGGCUCUCUUCCUCCGGUCUCUUUGGACAGGUUCACAACAUCCUUUCCCGCCAGCCUGCUCGCCCGCCACAAUACCUUUUGUAGGACUCCAGCAACACCCCCUUCACUUCCCAGAAUUACUCAAGAGGAGGCCUUCCCACCAAAGCUGUAAAGAGCUGUCUCGUGGCAUCAGAAAAGUUGGACAAAGGCUGUUUUCACCGUGUAAAUUACACCAUCUUGGUGGGCCAGCGCUGGGUCAUUCCCGCUCUGCGCCCACUAUCUCUUUGUCCCCCAGCCCAAGGCACAGCCAAUGGAUGUCUUCAAGAAGCCUGACGUUUGUGACCAGUCCCAGUUCUCGCACUCCUCUCCUGGCCCUUCUCUGAGGCCCAGCCUAGUGCAGCACUCGAGAGUACAUGGGGAUGGGGAGCUGCGCGACUGAGACGGCACGCUGCGAGUCAGUGGCCACUGCUGUCACCACCCCUCUCUACCAUUGCCUCGGCCCACCCCCUUCGCCCCCCUCCAGCAUAACGGACUGUCCCAUGCAGGAUCGUGUAGCCCAAGCUCACUGCAAGGUGCAGACCCCACCCCCUCCGCCUUACACCGGCACCGCUGAGCGACACCGGCUUCGAUCCUCGGUUAAAAUCACGGCUGUUCCCUCCCGCAGCUCUCAGACAGUGAGUGCCUCUCAGAGGGAGAGCCUCCGGGUGGGCUUCCCCCGCUGCCCUGUAUUCCUGCGGCAUGCCCGAGUAGGACUACAGCGCCGGUAGGUCUGCCCCUGCCGCCUCACGUGGCAGCCAGCUUCAUGCUAGAAGUCAAGAGUUGCAGCAAUACGGGACUAAGACUACGAAUUAGUGAUUCUUGGCUGGUCUCUCGUUGAAAUUAGUGUUGCUGUACGGCAUCUGCUAUUGUUCUGUGGAAAACUAGCUUCAGGCUAGCACAGGCUUGCAUGCUUGCACUCCGCUUCCAAAUGUUGAAGGUAAAAUGUCACAGAGGCUGUGUGCUUCCUUAAUUCUACUUACUAGCAGACCACCAUUCUGCUUUAAUUCCCAGCAGUGGCCUAAAUAAUCCAACGGGGGGGAGGGGGGGGGGGGGGGGGAGGGGGGGAAGGAGGAGGGGGAUCAUCAGUAAAGAGCGGAUCCCAAAGGAGAAUGUCAACAUCAGAUACGGAAAAAAUGGACUGGAAGCAUCUUUCUGGUUCACUCUUUUCUCCUAGUGCAAGAACAUAAAUAAGAGUCUGCCUACUCAAACUGGAAAUGUAACUGGCUGAAUUUGGAAAAUGCUAGAGGACUAGGCAUGCUGCACAGCCCUCAGAUUUUAUCUACCAUCCACCUGAGUUACAUUCACAGCAAGUUACAGAGACAAGCAGCAGAAAAUUAGGAUGCCAUCAGCUACGGUGCAAACAAUGUGCACUCAUUAGGACUGAAUGGAAAAUAUGACAAAAAACAGUGGCUUAUAAUUUCACAAAUACUUGUGUGAUAAUAGAGUGGAAUAUUGUGCUUCUGCUCCCAAAGUAAAUUCCUUUUGGUCUGAAAUAUAAGCCUCACAUUACAUGCAAUACGAAGUGCCACAUUACAAGGAAAUCAUAUGAAUGAUUCCCUUAAACACCGGGAAACAUAUAAAAGCAAAUAUGCACAUUAGACACCCUAUUUCAGGGAAAAAAGUAUAGGUUUCUUCUUAAAAGAAGUACUGUCUGAAGUUAGUGCUACAUCUCUGAGUUCAGAAAGCUAGGGCUAGUUUCCACACAUUGCAGUCUUGUCUAGCAGUUCCAUAUAUAGAUGGAAUAGCACAAGUACCUACAUCCUCAUAGGCAGUAUAGGUUCUUUCUUAAUUCUCUCUGUGGGGGUUUCUAGACAUGAGCUAGAGUAGACCUCUUUCCUUCUGACUCUUUUCCCCUCCCCCAGCCUGAUUCUAAAAGAAAUUGGCUUCAGGAGGAAUUGCAGGUACUCAGCUUCUCUCAGAAUCCGGCCCUUACUUGGUUCAGCGGUAAAUUUUUGCACAUUUUUGAUGUCUAGAACAAAUGCUCGGCUUUAUCUCCAUAGUGCUUGAGACCACCAAUACAUUUAACAGGGCAUGCCCAAAAAGGGGCGGACACUAAGUAAAUGAUUUGGGGUAAAGUAUUCAAUAUAUAUAUAUAUAUGCAUUAUGGGAAGACUUUGGCAUAUGUAAUGCCUACAGUGUACAUAAACUGAACAGGUUUUUUUGAACCAGUUACGCACAAUAGGAGGAACUAUCCCCCGUGCAUCCAGUGCUGCAAUAAAAAGGAUGCUUGCUUUCUCA